CCUCCCUCACCUCUGAAACUGCAGCUCCCCGCCAUUUCUCCAUGUAGUAGUAACAGAGAACUCUGAAAGAAUUUGUUUCUUUUUUUUUUGCCCUUUUUCUCAGCCUUGGUUCAAUAAUUUCCAUAAUAAAAUUGUAUGAAUAGUGGCGUAUGACUUUCAUAGGGGAGCUGUUGCUUCCUUCAAAAACCGGAUGAUGAGAUUUUGGCUUAUAAACUUUUAAAACCCACAUAAAAAUUUUUCAAUUUCAAUUUU
rnacentral:lncRNA from 1 species